GGAGUGAGUUAUUCAGUAAUCGACGGAGUAAUAUAUUGGCACAAACCAUCAUAUCUUAGUCUUUUAAAUCCUACUAAUAUAUUAGGUUACAACAGUAAGGUAUAGUUUGUAACUAAAGAGUGGCAACAGCCACUUACCUACUUACACCUCACACUGCUAUGGGAACCAUAUCCUGGGAUUCAUACUAAAGCUGUGUUUUGCUUUGCUUUAAGGACUUAGUUCACCUUACAACAUCAUUAUUUUCCAAAGAAUUACUAUGACACCCUGAACUCUUCAGCCGUCUUUGUCGUCUUUGGAAUGUCCACCUGCUCCAUGUGUGAGGAGGAAGGGAGCUGCUUCCUGGCUUCAAAUGGUGUUUGUAUGGCUAUAAAAUGCCCAACACAGGUGAGCACAUUUACCUGGCCCAUGAUCCUUCCAGUAUGCUGUGCAAGGAUGUUUUAUCUAUUUGCAUAUAUUUGAAGUGUCCAGGAAAAACAUGUCCAAGCAUUCCUUUAAUAUUCUCACCAUUUCUAGAGAAUCGGGCCAAGUUAGCCGUGUUGAGCAGAGGGUUGAUCCAGGAGUAUGCAAGGAUCUCGAGGAAUGAAUGAUAAAAGCGUAAUGUCUAUUUUGGAGUAGCCUGUGAAAUAGUGAAGAUGGUACAGGGAAAGCGUUCUGUCUUAAAGACAAUGGGUGUAUUGUCUUCCAUAUCCCAGGUAGUUGAAGACAUGGGCUUAGUCAGGGUUCCUCUGCAUAUGUAACCCUCUGUGUACUUCAGAACUUGGUGCUUAAGAUUCAGGGAUUGUCAGUGACAAGCACCAGGAGCUUGUAGGAUGCGGACACAGUUAAUAGAGCGCUGGGCUAUGGUAUUUUUUCUUGGAAUCCCCUGACUGUGAAUGGCUAUGACCAAGGGUCCUUCUUAAGAUAAGAGUCAGUGUUAGGGUACAGGAAACUUUCUAGUGGCACUAGCCUCCCUCAAAACACUGGAGAGGUAAGCGUGUACCUUUGGCAGGAUGCAAGUCUGAGGAGGGAACCUUAUGGAAAUUUUCUUCUCAAAAGGGGGAGGAGAGUCAAACCCCACUCCAAUGAAUUACCUUUCGAUGGGGUCUAUUGAGACCUAAACUAGACCAAACUAAGAUGGGGUCAAUUGAGAAUUAAAAUAUUUAUGAGUUCUCAUUUAAGCAUGCCUUUUGAUUCAGGGAUGCAUUUUAGGUACCAAUAGGACUGCAUUUUUCCUUUUCUCUGUAUAGUGUACCAACAACUUGGGUAGGAAUCUCAGGAACCCCUAUGGUGAGUUGACUAAGCAGUGAGUCUACCAUUCUUUUACCUCCUGCGUGGAAGGCUAGAAAUCAGAUGGGCUGGGAAUAUUUUGAGACAGUUUGUAGCAUCUGACGAGGGUAAGGUUUUCUAGGGGAGCUGAGCAGAAUUCUGAGUCUGAAGGCACUUGACAGAAUGCAUAUUGAGAUCCAUAAGGUGUUAGAUAUCACUAGGCCUUGUAGCUGGCCGAAGUGCUUUUCAUGCUUGCUUCUGAGUUUUGUACACUUGGCUUGUGACUGAGUACUGUAUCAGAAUAAAAGGUGCUGGACCACUGUACUGUAGCAAUUGCUAAGCAGGGGCAGGGGUGAAGGAAGGAAUGAUGAUUAUAUUCUGUGAUAUAGUUUCUCCAGGUACUGUAGGUGUUAAUCUCCUCUUGUUUAUGCUAGCAUAAAUCAUGGGAAACCAUACUGAAGUCAGUGGAAUUACUUAUGUUCUACUAGGACAAAUUAGAUCAGAAAUCGUGUCCUGCAUCUUUGACAUUUGGGGUUAUUUAUGCAUGUACUUUGUAUGUAUACAGUUUUAAAGGAAAAUGUUUUAUAAAAUGUUGAAAUUUUGUCUCUCACACACACAUAUAUAUACUCAGAGCUCUCUGUAUUAGCAGUUGGUGUUCUAAUCACUAGCUAGUUUAAAUAAAUGAUCUAUUUACUAUGCAGCAUAAAUAAGCUGAAUGUGAGGUAAAAUAAUCUUUAAACACGAUUAUUUGCAAAGUCUAUUAUCUACCUUUAUUCUUUCAUGUAUAUUACCAUUUUUUCAAAAUAAACAAGAAGUUGCUUAGGGCAUUUGUAUGGCAUGGAAUGAAAAUAUAGGGUCUUUGGAAAGCAACAUAUUAAAAUCACUUUCCUUUAUUCUGUAAUCCAUCAGCAUUGGUAUGUAAAAGGGCAGUAGGGUUUGCAACACAGAAACUGUAGUAACUGUAAACUCUUGUGUUAUAUAGCAAAAGCACUGCAGA